rfam:Mesorhizobium metallidurans STM 2683, WGS project CATM01000000 data, contig: ANX_1634_Contig_55
GAGAUUUCGUCAAAGCCGACCUCCUCCCCGGCGAUGACGAAUACGGUCGAUCUUCACCUCCUCCCGAGGAUCGACCACCAAAACGACACCCGCCGGACCUCCUCCCCCGGCGGGUGUUGUUU